CGAUCUACCCGACGGCGGGGGAUAACCCAGGGAAACCUGAGCUAAUACCGCAUACAGCACCGGCUUGGAAGCCGGAUGUGAAAGCUGGCCUCUCGAAGAAGCUGGCACCAUCGGAUGAGCUCGCGGCCUAUCAGCUAGUUGGUGGGGUAACGGCCUACCAAGGCGAUGACGGGUAGCUGGCGUGAGAGCGUGGCCAGCCACACUGGGACUGAGACACGGCCCAG
rnacentral:rRNA from 1 species